rnacentral:rRNA from 1 species
CCUACGGGAGGCAGCAGUGGGGAAUAUUGGGCAAUGGAGGAAACUCUGACCCAGCAACGCCGCGUGAAGGAUGAAGGUUUUCGGAUUGUAAACUUCUGUCGCGAGGGAUGAAGAAUGACGGUACCUCGUAAGAAAGCCCCGGCAAACUACGUGCCAGCAGCCGCGGUAAUACGUAGGGGGCGAGCGUUGUCCGGAAUGACUGGGCGUAAAGGGAGUGUAGGCGGCAUAUUAAGUUAUGUGUGAAAGCCCGCGGCUCAACCGCGGAAUUGCACAUAAAACUGGUAAGCUGGAGUGAAGUAGAGGCAAGCGGAAUUCCUAGUGUAGCGGUGAAAUGCGUAGAUAUUAGGAGGAACACCAGUGGCGAAGGCGGCUUGCUGGGCUUUUACUGACGCUGAGGCUCGAAAGCGUGGGGAGCAAACAGGAUUAGAUACCCUUGUAGUC